AGAAUAAGAAAAUAAAAUAGAUACAAAUAGAUAGAAAGGUAGAGUCACAAAGAUUUAAAAAAAAUAAAGAGUCCACAAAAUGAUACUAUAAGCUAUUUCAGUAAUAAGUCUGUAAAUAAAAUAGAAUAAAUGGCUAGAAAAAUAUAAGCUAAGUAAGAUCCAAUUUGUAAUAUUAAUGUAAAUAUACACUACCCUGAAAUAAAUCUAAGGGAACUACCAAAUAAAAUAGCAUUAAUGAGUAUUUAAAUACAUGGGAAUGUAUUUUUUCUCUUCAUGGGAAAACUCCAUAUUUUAAACUUCUCACAAAUCCCUAGUUUCAACUAUAAAUAUACUGCAAUUAAAUAAAAGACAUAAUGUGAGCUUUUUGGAGAAUACAUGAAUGAAAAUGGCCACGAGCAGUUUGGAAAAUAAAACUAUAUGGAAAGAAUGAGGGACAGUUUAUUAUAAAAUCAGAUGUUAUAAUGCUACAAUUAUUAAACCUUAUUGUAUUGAUGCAGAGAAGAGAAACAUAAGCAACAGGCCAGAAACAAACUCAUAAAUAUAAAUAUUAAUAGAAAUGAAGAAUAUUUUAUUUUUGUCUUUUUUUGGGAGGGGAUAUUUUUAGGGCUGCACCUGCAGCAUAUGGAGGUUCCCAGGCUAGGGGUCUAAUCAGAGUUAUAGCUUCUGGCCUUCACCACUGCCACAGCAACGCCAGAUCCAAGCCAUGUCUAUGACCUACACCACAGCUCACAACAAUGCCAGAUCAUUAAGCCACUGUGAGGCCAGGGAUUGAACCCUCAACCUCAUGGUUCCUAGUCAGAUUUGUUUCCACUGCACCACCACAGGAACUCCAUAAAUGAAGAAUAUUUUAAAUUAUAAAUUUACUUUGUUCAAGUAAUGUUGCUACAAAAUUGGCUAAUUUUAAGGUCCUUACCUCAUAUCAUAUACUAUAAUAAAAUACUGAUGAAAUAAAGAGUUAAAUGUAAUAGAUAAAAACAUAAAAGAACUAGAAGAAAUGCAGUUGCACAAGAACUUUCUAGGAAUAAAAGCAAGGGAAAAACCAAAAUUGAUUCUAUUUAUAAAACAAAAUUUUAAAUGGGUACAUGUAAAAAUAUAAAUUACAUGAUCAAAUUGGAACAGUGUUUACAAACUAUGUUAUAAAAGUUCACUAUCUUAAAUAAAGAUCUCGGGAGUUCCCCGGUAGCACAGUGGGUUAAGGAUCCAUCACUGUCUCUGCUGUGGCUCAGGUUACUGCUAUGAAGUGGAUUCAGUCCCUGGCCUGGGAACUUCUGUAUGCCACAAGUGCGGCCAAAAAUAAUUUGAGUAAAGAGCUCUUAAAAAUAAUAAAACAAUAUCCAAAUAUUGAUUAUUUCAACAAAUCUUAAUUGUAUGUCUACUAUAUACUAGGUAGUAUUCUAGAAGUUAGGAAUGAACAAAAGUUCAAAAUCUGAUGUCUCUGUGAGGACAAUACAUAGUGGAAAUAUGAGCAAAUGGCAGAAAUGUGAAAAUUAUCUGCACACCAACCCACAUACACACAAAGAUAGAAUAGCAUUUCUUAUGACUGAAAUAUUUCAUAAUGGAAGUUAUAUACAGAAAACAUAAUUACUUAUGUAUAAGAAUAUUUACUACUCCCUUAUUUAAAAUAGGAAAUAAUAAACUAAAGUCAACUGGUUAAACCAAUUAUAUUUUAUAUAAUGAUGAAAUUCUAUUAAAUCCUAUAAAGUUGAAAUAUCCUUAGAUAUUUUUCCCACUAUUAUAGUUGAAUUAGGAUAUGGGGUGAAACUGAAUUAUAAUUUUAUGACAUAAAUAAUAAAUGUACAUACGAUGCAUUCCUUCCCAUCUUUUUUCUACAUGUAUGUAUACAUACAUGAGGAAAACAAACCUAAUAAAAGCAAUUGAAAGAUACCCCAAAAUGCAGCUACAGAGAAAUGCUUAAUUAAGUUAUGAUAUAAUAAUAGGAUGGAAUAGUAUUGAAUUAUUAAAUACUAUGCUUUGAGAGAAUAUUGAUUCCUUUAGAAAACAUUCUCGGUAGAAGCUUUUGGAAGGAACUAUUAAAACAUUAACAAUGAUUAUUUCUGUGUGGUAAGAUGUUGAGAACUUUAUACAAUUUUCAACACGUUCUAUUUUUUAUAAUAGAUGUUUUACUUUUAUAUUCAGAUGUUAAAAAUAAUUUUCAACAGUCUACUUUAUGGAACCCAUCUCAAUAUUUUGUAAAAAGUAAUGGCUUUGCUUCCUAUCCUUAUGAUCCUAAUUAGUACAUUGUUUAUGGUGUUUUCUUUGAAGGGAUUUGCCUUUUAGUUUUUGGCAUGUCUCUUUGGUUUGAUUAACUGGGCUUCUGUUCUGCUUCUCUGCAUCGCAAUUGAGUGUUUGCUGUGGAGGAGGCAAAAAGAAGCAGGACAAUAUUAUUAUAUUCUCCCCUGAGGCUUCCUAUUUUCCAGAGAUUAGACAUAUUUGCUCAACAGCACCAAGCUGCUGUAACAAUUUCUCUCUCAUUUCCUUUACACCCAGGGGCAAAUGGCAACUUUCUUGUCUGUCACUUUCCAACUCAGGAAGCUGAUGCAUGUAUUUCCGUUAUUUAAUAAUGACAGAUAGCUCCCAGCAUCAAACCAUCCAAGAAAACUGUUGGCCUCUGGCAGGGAAAGAGCAGUAUAAGUUUUCAACAUUCUGGUAGCUUACAAUGGAUCUGGGAUGGUUCUUUAAAUUCAUAUGUGAUACUGAGCUGGUUGGCAGAAUUCUAUUUACCAUCAAUAAAAUGCCUUUAAUAAUUAUUGCUCCCAAAGCAAAAGUAAAAUGUAUAUUUAUGUCCGAUUCGGUGAUGUCUGAUUAUAGAGAAGGCAGAGAGGGAGUCAGUCAACAAGUACUGUAGCCCAUGUGACAUGAGAGAAAAAAUACUGUCCUGCUAACCAUGGUGUUUUCUGGGUGGUAAGGAAGAACACUGGCUCCACCCCAUGAGCCCACUCACUUCUCCCUUAAAAAACUGUGGUGACUGAGUGACUGAGUUUUCCUGUGCAGACAGAUUGGGUGAACACAGUGGGUGAGAUAAUUCUCACAAGUUCAUGUGUGUCUGUCCUCCUUUCUCUACCUCCCUUUCUGGGGCAUCUAUUGAGUGCUUACUGUGUGUGAGAGCAAGUUCUAAAAGCAGGAUGUGCAUUCUCUUGUGGCCCAGCAGGUUAAGGACCCAGCAUCAUCACUGCAGCGGCUGGGGUUGCUGCUACUGUGCGGGUUUGAUCCCUGGCCCAGGAACUUCUACAUGCUGUGAGCACAGGCAAAAAAAAUAAUAAAAUAAAAGCAGGACAUGCAGUGGCAAACAAAACAGACAUGGUCCUUACUUUCCUCAAGCUGGUGUUCUGUGAGGAGAUAGACAAGAAGACAAUAAAUAAUUGCAUAAUCUCAUUCCAGCUUGUGAUUGAAAAACCUAAGGAUACAGGGAGUUGAUGAAUAGGAAAGGACGGGAGCAAGCUUUUUUAGGUAGAGUAACUGGAAAAAACACCUCUGAGAUGAUUCCAUAUGUGUCCAAAUAAGCCUGAGUGCUGAAAAGGAGUCACUCAAAGACCUGGGCAAGGACAACAGACAACGCAAAUGGAAGGAGCCACAAGUGUGAAGCUCUGACGUGGGAGAAAGUAUGAUACACUGGAGCAGGAGCAAGGAGGCCAGAGUGUCUGCAACAGAGCUAGCAUGAACACUAACAUGAGCACAAGGAGGUGGUCGUCGAGGACAGGCUGGCACAAGCCAGGUCAUAUAGGGUCUCAUAAGAGAGGGUAUGAAGUUUUGAUUUUAACUUAAGUGCAAUGAGGCAUAUUAGAGAGCAUUAAGGAGAGCAGGAGUCCGUUCAGAUUUUCUUUAAAAAGAUGACUCCACUUUGCUAUACAAUAGACCUUGAAGAAAUAUUGUAAAUCAACUAUAAUUUUUAAAAAGUAAUUGAAAAAAUAAUAAAAAGAUGACUGUGGCUUUGGUGUAGAAAAUGGCCUCAGGGAAACAAGACUAGAUAAAAGAUCACUAUGCCAGGCGGAUGGAGCAACACAGGUGAGAGAUGGUGGUUGAUAGGACUGGGGUUGGUGAAAGCAAUUGCACAAAGACUUGGGGGCAAAUAAUGAUUUUUUUUUAGUAUUUUUACAUUUACAGUGGGAUUUCUCAAACUUUAUCUCAAAUAAUCUUUAAAGUCCCUUCCAACUCUAAAAAUAUAAAGAGUAAGCAUUCAUGAUCUUAGGGAAGUUCAAUAACUUUUCAAUCUCUAAAAUCAUUACAAUAUAGUUGAUGGUGGAAUUGCACCCUCCGUAACUAUCCCAGGAUAUAUCUGUUUUAAAAUGUUGUUUUCAGCUUUUCUAAUUUCAGAGAAUUAUUCAGUAAAUAUUGUGUACUUUUGCUGUUACAGGUGCUAGAGAUCAAUUUUUACAUUGGAAUGAACUGGUUUUAGUUUAUAGCUCAACCUGUGUUUUUAAUCCCGUACUCUCUGGAGCUGGAAUGCAUGGCUGGCUUCUGAGCCAGGAUGAGUCUGAAGUGAUGAUAAUCUAUGUAAGAGAGGUAACAAUUGUGAUAUGGGAACACAGGUAAUAUUGAGGAGAAAAAUUUAAGAUUCUUCCAUUAUUCUAAACAAAUGAUGCUUUGCAAAAAUUAUACGAUCGUCUUUUAAAUUGUGACCAAUAUUUAUUCAUUCAACAAUUUGGUAACAUUGGUUAAUAAAAUAGAAAUGGUCUCAAUC
rnacentral:lncRNA from 1 species